rnacentral:rRNA from 1 species
UACGUAGGGUGCGAGCGUUGUCCGGAAUUAUUGGGCGUAAAGCGCGUGUAGGCGGCCCUUCUAAGUCUGGUGUGAAAGCCCGGGGCUCAACCCCGGAAGUGCAUGGAUACUGGGAGGCUAGAGUACGGUAGAGGAUGGUGGAAUUCCCGGUGUAGCGGUGAAAUGCGUAGAUAUGUGGAGGAAUACCGAUGGCGAAGGCAGCCCCCUGGGUCAAGACUGACGCUCAUGCACGAAAGCGUGGGGAUCAAACAGG